rnacentral:rRNA from 1 species
UACGAAGGGUGCAAGCGUUGUUCGGAAUUACUGGGCGUAAAGCGCACGUAGGCGGCUUUGUAAGUUAGAGGUGAAAGCCCGGAGCUCAACUCCGGAAUUGCCUUUAAGACUGCAUCGCUUGAAUCAUGGAGAGGUGAGUGGAAUUCCGAGUGUAGAGGUGAAAUUCGUAGAUAUUCGCAAGAACACCAGUGGCGAAGGCGGCUUACUGGUCCGGUUCUGACGCUGAGGCGCGAAAGCGUGGGGAGCAAACAGG